rnacentral:rRNA from 1 species
AACGUAGACCUCAAGCGUUAUCCGGAUUUAUUGGGCGUAAAGCGCGUGUAGGUGGAUCGGCGCGUCUUCUCUUAAAGCCCAGGGCCUAACCCUGGAGGUGGAGGAGAUACGGCCGGUCUAGAGGAGGUUAGAGGUGCAUGGAACGCACGGUGUAGGGGUGAAAUCCGUUGAUAUCGUGCGGAACACCAAAGGCGAAGGCAGUGCACUGGGACCUUCCUGACACUGAGACGCGAAAGCGUGGGGAGCAAAAAGG